GACGUAGGGCGCGAGCGUUGUCCGGAUUUAUUGGGCGUAAAGAGCUCGUAGGCGGCUUGUUGCGUCGACUGUGAAAACCCGUGGCUCAACCAUGUGGUCUGCAGUCGAUACGGGCAGGCUAGAAUUCGGUAGGGGAGACUGGAAUUCCUGGUGUAGCGGUGAAAUGCGCAGAUAUCAGGAGGAACACCAGCGGCGAAGGCGGCGCUCUGGGCUGGAACUGACGCUGAGGGGCGAAAGCGUGGGGAGCGAACAGG
rnacentral:rRNA from 1 species